rnacentral:lncRNA from 1 species
AUGGAGAAAGAGAUCAUCGUGGAGCACAGCAACUGUGCCUAGAUGGCACGUACACACUACCGGCUCCUCCGCUAUCGGUUGUUGCUACUACUACUGUGUCUGCUGCUAUUGGAGGUGGUGCACUGCCUUUGUCAACAUCAUCAUUUGCUGCAUUAACGCAAAAAGUUGUUGAGUUUGGAUGUCUGUAGUGAUGAUCGGAUGUGAGAAACUAGGCUCUAUCAUUGGUGGUGGAGGAGGAGGAUCUUCUCGAUGGAAAGACUGUCUGGCAG